ncrna:unclassified sequences RAGATH-7 RNA
CAUAAUCCUAUUUACUAUGCACAAGUAAAGACAGAUUAUGAAUCCACGUGGUAGAUGCAGUUGUAGGUUCCAACUGGUGCACAUCUUAUUAGAGACAGCAACCAAGCUCGAAGUAAGCAGAGCGAAGACAAUUAGCUAUACCUCGAUAGGCUUAAUGAGGUGCUUAACAGUCUAACACUAACUGAACAAUAAGUGUUA